rnacentral:rRNA from 1 species
UUAGUAGCAGCUUGUGCAGUUGAUGCACAUAGUUUUGUAUUUCCAGUUGCCUAUGGUGUGCUGGAGACAGAGUCUGAGGAGAGCUGGACUUGGUUUUUGCAUAAUCUCCGCCGGGCUAUUGCACAUCCCAAUGGGUUGGUCAUUCAUACAGAUGCCUGCAAAGGUUUAGAAGUGGCCGUGGACAAUGUCUUCCCUGGAGUAGAGCAUAGGGAAUGCAUGCGUCACCUUGCUGCAAAUUUCAUGAAGAAAUUCAAAGGAGUGUAUACCGACAAUUUAUGGCCAGCAUCUUUGACAUGCAGUGUGAAGAAGCACAACUACCACUUGAGGCAGUUAUACAUGAAUCCCAAAGUGAAAGAAUACUUGGAAACACACCACUCCAAGUUAUGGGCCAGAAGCCAAUUCAGUGAAGUGAGCAAAGUUGACUAUGUGCACAAUAAUCUAGCAGAGUCUUUCAACUCAACGAUCCGGAAA